CAAGAAAUUCAAACAUCAAUUUUGAGAAGUCGUCUGAGGACUUCAAUUUUUUAACGCUGAAGACUAAGGGUUGAAUUUGCUCAUUUUGGUGCUUUUGCAAUCACAUUGGUGGUGAUGAUGGGAUUAAGAAGGUUGCUCAGGGAGGAAUAAAAGAAUCGUGAUCAGGGAAAACUCCUAAGGCAAAUGAAGAAAUGUAAAAUAUUUGUUGGUAAAAUACUACUGGUAAUCGAAAAACACAUUAUUUGACACAUAGAAAUUUGUAUGCAGAUGUUUACUUUAGAUUGUUAUUCAGGUGAUUUGUGAUACACAAAAACAUUUACUUUAUUCCACAUUGUAUCUUUAUUGAUGAAAAUGAACACUUACAAAAUUUAAAUGAUUACAAUUAUAUCUAACAUUA